UUCACACUGUAGUGAUGGUCCUAGGUGAUGUUCACACUGUAGUGAUGGUCCCAGGUGAUGUUCACACUGUAGUGAUGGUCCUAGGUGAUGUUCACACUGUAGUGAUG